rnacentral:rRNA from 1 species
CGCUUAGAAUAAAACGGACGGAGCCGUCUGUGACCCGUCGGAAUCAGUCGAAUCGAUGCGUGAAGGCGAGUAUGAUAUAAAACGGAACGAAAGUCCGGUCGUCUCGUAGUAAACAGUAGCGCUCGUUCGAUGCAUUUCCGAAGGGUAAGCACCGCGACCGAUGUCGAAGGCUAGUGAAGCCGUCGGAUUGAGGUCGAGCUCGUUUCUCGAGUCUCGUUACCAGUCCUUCGGUAUGAAUAGAAUUCGCUGGACCCUAGCAUCGAGAAUAAAAGUGAAUGUCGGUGAACUAUACGCUCACCUGCUACGAUGGACGUGCGGCCGUUCGAUCGUCGCCUGCUCGCAGGUUACGGUUUGAAUCAGGUUCGUAUCCGAAGUCGUCGGUGACGUUUUGACAUUCAGGCAUCCGCGGUGUCCGAGUCGGUCACCCGUCCGACCCGUCUUGAAACACGGACCAAGGAGUCUAACGUAAGCGCGAGCUAAUGGGUGGAAAACCUAUAAGCGAAAUAAAAGUAAAAGCCGUUUCGGACGGCCGAGGUACGAUCCCGAAGAACGAAGUAUCUUCGGGCGCAGUACCAUCCCGUCCCGACCGCUUGUCGGUAGGGCGGAGAUAGAGUGCAUACGUUGGGACCCGAAAGAUGGUGAACUAUGCCUGAGCAGAGCGAAGCCAGAGGAAACUCUGGUGGAGGUUCGUAGCGGUUCUGACGUGCAAAUCGAUCGUCAGACUUGGGUAUAGGGGCGAAAGACUAAUCGAACCAUCUAGUAGCUGGUUCCCCCUGAAGUUUCCCUCAGGAUAGCUGAUACUCAGGGAAUAACGAAGUUUUAUCCGGUAAAGCGAAUGAUUAGAGGCCUUGGGGACGAAAUGACCUCAACCUAUUCUCAAACUUUAAAUGGGGUAAGAAGUCGAGCUUGCUCGAUCGAAG